GACGAACGCUGGCGGCGUGCUUAACACAUGCAAGUCGAACGGUAAGGCCCUUCGGGGUACACGAGUGGCGAACGGGUGAGUAACACGUGGGUGAUCUGCCCUGCACUUCGGGAUAAGCCUGGGAAACUGGGUCUAAUACCGGAUAGGACCACUGCCUGCAUGGGUGGGGGUGGGAAGCUUUUGCGGUGUGGGAUGGGCCCGCGGCCUAUCAGCUUGUUGGUGGGGUGAUGGCCUACCAAGGCGACGACGGGUAGCCGGCCUGAGAGGGUGACCGGCCACACUGGGACUGAGAUACGGCCCAGACUCCUACGGGAGGCAGCAGUGGGGAAUAUUGCACAAUGGGCGCAAGCCUGAUGCAGCGACGCCGCGUGAGGGAUGACGGCCUUCGGGUUGUAAACCUCUUUCAGCACCGACGAAGCGCAAGUGACGGUAGGUGCAGAAGAAGGACCGGCCAACUACGUGCCAGCAGCCGCGGUAA
rnacentral:rRNA from 1 species